rnacentral:rRNA from 1 species
UACGGAGGGUGCAAGCGUUAUCCGGAUUCACUGGGUUUAAAGGGUGCGUAGGUGGCAUGGUAAGUCAGUGGUGAAAUCUCCAAGCUUAACUUGGAAACUGCCGUUGAUACUAUCAUUCUUGAAUAUCGUGGAGGUGAGCGGAAUAUGUCAUGUAGCGGUGAAAUGCUUAGAUAUGACAUAGAACACCGAUUGCGAAGGCAGCUCACUACGCGAUUAUUGACACUGAGGCACGAAAGCGUGGGGAUCAAACAGG